AAGUUUGUCCGUUAAUUUCAGGCGUCGUCCUUCUCCGUUACAAAAAAUCAACAAACGACCACGACCACCCGACGCCUCCUCCGCGCCCCUACAUACAGAACCCCUCAGUGCAUGAGUUUUAUACCUUCUUCCACCAGCACAGUCGCCGCCUAACCUAUCCUCCCCGCCCCAAUACACAAACGAAUUCCCCUUAGUGCGCCUUUCAACCAUGUUGAAUUACUCCCCCACUGCCACUCACUGCUGCAACGUUCCUUUAACUCCAACCUGCUCUUCUCUCUUUAAAUCAUCUCCCUCAUCAUCACUUCCUAAUUCUCUCUCUUUUUCAUCCGCUCUUGUCACGCAACAAUUAGCUUCGCGCCAUGUCUAUGCAAAUACAAAUCCCAAUAUUAAAAGCAAACCCCUACACAAGGGACUGAAGAUAAUGUGCUCGACAAGUGAGCCAUUGAAAGUGGUGAUAUCUGGGGCACCAGCAUCGGGGAAAGGGACUCAAUGUGAGAUGAUUGUUGAGAAAUUUGGAUUGGUACAUGUAUCAACUGGAGAUCUUCUACGAGCUGAAGUAUCUGCUGGUACAGAAAUUGGAAACAAAGCAAAGGAGUAUAUGAGUUCUGGUCAUCUAGUACCUGAUGAAAUUGUGACAGCUAUGGUGACAACAAGGUUAUCUCUAAAAGAUGCUCAGGAGAAGGGGUGGCUCUUAGAUGGAUACCCUCGAAGUUUUGCCCAAGCAGAGAGUUUGGAGAAAAAGAACAUUAGACCAGAUUUAUACAUUAUGCUUGACGUUCCUGAUGAUAUUCUAAUCGACAGAUGUGUUGGUAGAAGGCUGGAUCCUGUAACGGGAAGGAUCUACCAUAUAAAUAAUUUCCCUCCUGAGAAUGGUGAAAUUAAAGCAAGGCUUAUUACUCGCCCUGAUGACACAGAGGAUAAGGUGAAAUCACGCCUGCGAAUAUACAAGCAAAAUGCAGAGACGGUUUUAUCGACAUACUUGAACAUAUCGAAGAAGAUUGAUGGAAAUCGUCCAAAAGGAGUGGUUUUUAAGGAAAUAGAUUCUUUGUUGUCAAGAGUGCAGAAAGAUAAAGAGGCAUCAAAAUCAGGUAAAUUAACAGUAAGUGACAGCCAUUCUGACGGGAAACCUUCAAACAAGGAAAAUUGGAGAGGAAUACCAACCAGACUGAAUAAUAUUCCUCAUUCUAGAGAAAUCAGGGAGUAUUUUUAUGAUGAUGUUUUGCAAGCAACCCAAAGAGCAAUAAAUGAUGGGAAAACUCAAAUAAAGGUGGAGAUCAAUAUUCCAGAGCUGAAUCCAGAAAUGGAUGUUUAUCGAAUAGGUACCUUAAUGGAACUUGUUCGUGUUCUUGCUCUUUCCUUUGCAGAUGAUGGAAAGCGUGUCAAGGUUUGCGUGCAAGGGUCUAUGGGAGAAGGAGCAGUUGCUGGAAUGCCAUUGCAGCUUGCAGGAACUCGAAAAAUUUUAGAGUUCAUGGAUUGGGGAGAUUAUGGUGCUAGGGAUACUUUUAUCAAGAUUGGUUCUAUAGGUGGCAAGGAGGUUGAUGAGCAAGAUGACAUGUUUAUCUUAGUGGCUCCUCAAAAUGCUGUGGGAAACUGUAUCAUUGAUGAUCUUAGAGCUAUGACUACUGCUGCAGGACAUCGUCCCGUUGUUCUUGUCAAUCCUAGGCUGAAGGAUUUGCCAGGUUCAAGUGGCAUCAUGCAAACAAUGGGUCGAGAGAAGAGAUUAGAAUAUGCCGCUUCAUUUGAAAUAUGCUACUGCUUCCGGCUGCUCUAUUAUGCGGGGACACAAUAUCCUAUCAUGGGGGCUCUCAGGAUGUCUUACCCGUAUGAGUACGAGUUGUACAAGAGGGUGGAUGUAUCUGCUGGGAAGGAGAAAUAUGUAAUCUUGUCAACAUUUCCAAAAAGACCUACUGGAGAAGAAAUCAACGACGCAUUUGAAGGAAAAACUAGAAAUGAAACUAAAAGAGCGACCGGAAUAUGGGGCUUCUUGAGUGGCAUACUUUGAGCCAAAAAAGCAGGCGUCGACUAAGAACUGCACCCUCUGUCCCUAUCAGUCUAUCAGGGAUAAUGAAUCUUGGAAAUGGUUAUCCAUCUAACAAUAAGAUUUCUAUAUUCCAGCAUUACGAGGUGAAAAAUGCAACCUUAUGGUAGUAUUUUGCCAAUUGAGAGAGAGAGUUCUACUAUACUUGGGUUUUAAAUGAAAAAGUGAUAUUUUAUUCA